rnacentral:rRNA from 1 species
CACAAGUAAGAUUAGUGUUAUUCAUCUUUAUUAGGUUUAAAGGGUACCUAGACGGCAAAAGCAACUUCUAAAAAGUAUAUCUUUGCUAGAGUUUUAUGUGAGAGGUAAAUAUUAGAACUAUCGGUGUAGGGAUGAAAUCCCUUGAUACUGAUAGAAUGUGUAACGGCGAAGACAACCCUCUAUGUAUAAACUGACGUUGAGGGACGAAGGCUUGGGGAGCAAACAGG